rnacentral:rRNA from 1 species
UACGUAGGGAGCGAGCGUUGUUCGGAGUUAUUGGGCGUAAAGAGCGCGUAGGCGGUUUUUUAAGUCUGGUGUGAAAUCUCCCGGCUUAACUGGGAGGGUGCGCCGAAAACUGGAAGGCUUGAGUAUGGGAGAGGUAAGCGGAAUUCCUGGUGUAGCGGUGAAAUGCGUAGAUAUCAGGAGGAACACCUGCGGUGUAGACGGCUUACUGGACCAUAACUGACGCUGAGGCACGAAAGCGUGGGUAGCAAACAGG